CAGGUGUCCGUACAAAUUGUACGGGUGAAAAGGGAACGGAGUGAGAGUCUCCGACAGGACCGCUGCUGUGAAGCGGAGUUUCAUGCGAGAUACCAUUGGCCGAAGGGCUGAGAAGGCUGCAUGGGGCGUUGAUGCUGAGUCAGAAGACCUGCCUGCGAAUU
rnacentral:ncRNA from 1 species